AACGUCGAAGGAGUCAGGAUAA
rnacentral:miRNA from 1 species